GACGAACGCUGGCGGCGUGCUUAACACAUGCAAGUCGAACGGAAAGGCCCCUUUGGGGGUACUCGAGUGGCGAACGGGUGCGUAACACGUGAGUAACCUGCCCUUGACUUCGGGAUAACUUCAGGAAACUGGGGCUAAUACCGGAUAGGAAUCCUUGCUGCAUGGUGGGGGUUGGAAAGCUUCGGCGGUUUUGGAUGGACUCGCGGCUUAUCAGCUUGUUGGUGGGGUAGUGGCUUACCAAGGCUUUGACGGGUAGCCGGCCUGAGAGGGCGACCGGCCACAUUGGGACUGAGAUACGGCACAGACUCCUACGGGAGGCAGCAGUGGGGAAUAUUGCACAAUGGGCGGAAGCCUGAUGCAGCAACGCCGCGUGCGGGAUGACGGCCUUCGGGUUGUAAACCGCUUUCAGCAGGGGCGAAGCUUGUGGUGACGGUACCUGCAGAAGAAGCACCGGCUAACUACGUG
rnacentral:rRNA from 1 species